UGGGGCCCGGGAUUGGGCCCCGCCCGGGGCUGCCUGGCUGAUGGCGGUGGUGGGCAGAUGGCGAGGACCCCCUAAGCCCCCAGCUUCUCACAGACGUCAGGCUCAGUGGGCGAAACAACUCCUAAAAUAAGGACUUGGCUCAGGGAGGGAGAGGCUGACACUGGGAGUGCAUGAUCUGCAGGGAACGUGGAGAACAGACCUUGCGCCCCAAGGAGGGCAGCCGAGACCCCGGACGGCCCCCACGCCUCUAGUGGGGAGACCCGCCAACUUCUCUAGCUCGUGGACUCCCGGAACAGAUGCUGACUCUUAUCCUUAGAGAAAGAGAAGGCAGAACUGCUUACUCAGUCUCUGGAACUCUCCCAGUCUGAUGGGCGAGGAACAGAGCCGCCAGUCUGACCAGCCAGCACCUCAGAAAAGAACCUACAAAGCAAGACGUGGCUCUGCCACCAACUUCUGUGACCUUGACCAAGCCAUUCCUAGUCUCCUGGCCUCAGUUUACCCAUCUGUAAAGCGAGGAGGCUAAUCGUUCUAGGAGGAUGGCCAUCAUCCAUUUUGCUCACCGUCGUGUCCCCAAGACAGUGGCAGGUACACAGUGGGUACUCAGCUCAUCUCUGUGGAAUGUGGGGUGUCCACUCAAGGGUUGGAGGGUUGGGGUGUCACUACAGUGAAGAAGUGGUUUUAGUCUAUAAAUGGUGAGAGCACUCAGGAAAGAAGCUAUCAAGUAAGGUUGGAGAAUUUAUCUGGGAAGCCUUCCUGGAGGAAGUGAGGAAAAGACGCAGAUUUGGAACUUGAAUUAAGUAUUCUGAUUAACGAGGGACUGGAGAACUGUGGCCUUGGGAAUGCUUUCUUGGCCCUACUUACUGCUCAGGAGGAAAGACCUGAGUCUGAGGUUUAAUAGGCACAGUUUCAUUCCUCCCUUCCCAGUAAUUAAUUACCUGGCCCAGGAUGCUCCCUAGAGUCUGUCGCCACUGCCGUCUUCCAGCUCCUCCCAGGGUCACCCCAGGAUAGUCAGGCUGUAUCCAGAUUGCCAUUCUCCACCUCCCUCCCCAGAGGAGCCGCAUGUGGGGCAGGUGUAGGGGAAGGGACUCCCAAGGUGUAGAUCUGUGCUGUGCAGUAUGGCAGCCCCCAGCCACAUGUGGCAGCUGAGCAGGGGAAUUGUGGCCGAGACAUGCUGUAUACAUGAAAUACACAGACUUUGAAGACUUAGUAUGAAAAAAGAAUGUAGAAUAUUUCACUAAUACUAUUUU